ACUGCCUACACAGCCGUCCUGGUCACCCUACCUCAGUAACUCUCUGUAACUGUACAGUACAGUGUCCCAAUGGGUGCUUAAAAUACCUCUCUUUUGAAGACCAGGGUCUCCACAACUCUACUUUUGAUACAUCAUACUAUAGUUGAUGAUAGUACCUGUAUCAAGGUGAGAGGAUCUUAAAAGAGGAAGCUCCGGGUAUUUUUUAUUGGUCACCAUCAUAGUACAUCUGCUAUUGGACUGCAGAGAUUCCAUCUGUGUUGUAAACGUAUAGCUAUAAACAUUCUCUAGUAAGCUGUAAUAAGGAAGGACAGAGGACUUUGGUCCGAGACGCUGGUUUAAAGCAGUACGUAACGUGUGUCUUGUGAUGAGCUCGACGCUCCUCUGACUGCGACAAGGAGAGACGACCAGCAGACUUCACUAAAGGUGCUGUGACAUCAUUAAGGGGUGCUGUGACAUCAUCAUCGGCCAUGGAGGGGAGGAGUGUUCUGAGGCGUGCCCAAUCUCUACGGAGCGUCUCUAUGGUUGACGGAGACAAGCCCACCUGGGCGGAGGCGGGGUUUAGGGACAGGAUGAAGUCCAUUUCCGUAUCUCAGAUGUUGACCAGAUACCAAGCCAGCCCUUCAGUAGAGGUCCCUACCCUGAACCAUGUGGAGCACAAGACUGAGCAGAUAACCAAGCAUCAGACCUCCUUCUCAACCGUCCGUGAGAAAACAAAGAGACAACUGGCAGAGAGCGCACAGGAGCGCAAGCUGGAGUCCCCGAUGAGAAACAACGGAGUGAGAGAGACGACCAGGAUCCAGCCCAGUGUGUUAGAAGUGAGAGAGAAGACCCGUGGGUCAACUAGCCUGUUAGGAGAGAUGUCCCGGGGGUCGGCCAGCCUGUUAGGGGAGAAGUCCCAGAGGUCGACCAAUCUCUCCCGCAGUAAGUCCAUGUCCAGUCUCCCUGGCCCCUCUCCCAGAGUCGACCCGGCCGGGAGUAUCGGAGCCCUGAAGGCUCUCUUCGAGUCAAAGGUCACCAAGGAGAAGGUGAAGAGCAUCAUGGGAGCUGUAGGCCAAACACCAUCACGUCCCAAGAUGGCAGCUGCGGCCCCAGCCAUCAACGGGUUGGUGGAGGAGAGAAAGGGCCCUAUAGAGGAGAAAGCUGUACCUUCACCUACAUCCCCGGCUAGAGAGGAGGUCACUACACAGGUUGGGAGAAUGACGCGCUCAGAGAGGAGAAAGACCAUCAGUGGUAUCAACCUGGAAAAGAUAUCUACAGCAUCUCAGGAUGAUGACAAGAGGAAGUCGAUCUCAGACCUCAGUGACGCCGGUUCCUCCUCCUUCAGCCCAGAGAGGGAGAAACCGUCCGCUUCUGUCUCUGUCAGAGCCAUAUCUGCUCUCUAUCUGUCCAAGGUAGCAGCUGCAGAGUCAACGGCUCAAGAUCCAUCCUCUCCAACCAAGAGAGGAGUGAAACCCUCCAAGUUCCUGCCAUGUCAACAGGACGUGUGUUCAUCCUGUCUGAAGCCAGUCUAUCCUAUGGAGAAAAUGACCGCUGAUAAAUUCAUAUUUCACAAGAACUGUUUCUGCUGUAAACACUGUCAGAAGAAGCUCAGGUGAGACAAUGAGAUCAGAUCAACAGUGGAAACUAAUCAAACAUAUAUCAUAUACCUUGAUUAUUCACCCAGUGAAUAUGGAUUCAUCACCCACAGUGUGUGUGUGUGUGUGAUUAUUCACCCAACCCUCAGUGAAUAUGAAUUCAUCACCCACAGUGUGUGUGUGUCUGUGUGUGUGUGAUUAUUCACCCAACCCUCAGUGAAUAUGAAUACAUCACCCACAGUGUGUGUGUGUCUGUGUGUGUGUGUCUGUGUGUGUGUGUGUGUGUCUGUCUGUGUGUGUGUGUGUCUGUGUGUGUCUGUGUGUGUGUGUGUCUGUGUGUGUGUCUGUGUGUGUGUGUGUGUCUGUGUGUGUGUGUGUGUGUGUGUGUAGCAUGCACAGCUAUGCUCCGCUGUACGGGGAGUUCUACUGUGUAUUCCACUACCAGCAGCUGUUCAGGAGGAAAGGGAACUAUGACGAGGGCUUUGGCCACACCCAACACAAAGACCGCUGGCUGCAGAGAACCAAUGAGACGCCGGGGUCUAACAGCGCUGAUGUCAUAUAGAGCUCCCUGAUUGCUGACGCGGUGACCAUGACAACACUGAAUCACAGCAUCGUUGGAGUCACCUGGGUUAUGUACUCCAUGUACACACUGUAUACACUGAGUCGCUUGACAGUAAUCAGCACCAGAGUCCACUUUAUGGCCACAAUUACAGAGAAAUUAUAUGAUGUUUUAGACAAGAUCUCUCCUGAUUCUGAUUUCAUUUUUUCUAUUUUAGCAAAAUUAUUCUGAUUUCAUCUUUUCCAUAUCAGCAAAAUAUUGGACAUUUCGGUAUCUUAGUAGGAUCCCCCAUUAACUGUUGCAAAAGCAGCAGCUACUCUUCCUGGGGUCCACAAAAAACAUGACAUGAUACAGAACAUCAAUAGACAAGAACAGCUCAAGGACAGAACUACAUCAAUUAAAACAUUUGACAUGUUAAAAAACAAAGAGCAUAUCUUUGUUACGGACAUCUCUCCCCAUCUUUACAACCAUUGAAUCUAUGUGUUUUGACCAUGACAGGUUACAUUCUAAGGUAACACCAAGUAAUUUAGUCUCCUCAACUUGUUCAACAGCCACACCAUUCAUUACCAGAUUCAGCUGAGGUCUAGAACUUAAGGAAUGAUUUGUACCAAAUACAAUGCUCUUAGUUUUAGAGAUGUUCAGGACCAGUUUAUUACUGGCCACCCAUUCCAAAACAGACUGCAACUGUUUGUUAAGGGUUUCAGUGACUUCAUUAGCUGUGUUUGCUGAUGUGUAUAUGGUUGAAUCAUUAGCAUACGUGGACACACAUGCUUUGUUUAAUGCCAGUGGCAGGUCAUUGGUAAACAUUUAAAAGAGUAGAGGUCCUAGAAAGCUGCCCUGCGGUACACCACACUUUUUAUGUUUGACAUUAGAGAAGCUUCCAUUAAAGAAAACCACCUGAGUUCUAUUAAAUAGAUAGCUCUGAGACCACAAUAUGGCAGAGGUUGAAAAGCCAUAACACAUACAUUUUCUCAACAACAGGUUUUAGUCAAUAAUGUCAAAUGGCUGUAUUGAAAUCUAACAGUACAGCUCCCACAAUCUUCUUAUCAACUUAUUUCAACUAAUCAUCAGUCAUUAGUGUCAGUGUAGUACAUGUUGAGUUCCCUUCUCUAUAAGCAUGCUGAAAGUCUGCUGUUCAUUACUUUACAGAGAAAUAGCAUUGUAUUUGCUGUAAGACCAUUUGUUCCAAUAGUAUGCUAAGAGCCUAUAGGCCCAUCAUUCUUUAUUGAUCUUGGAUUGGAAAUGAAGCAGUGAUUGAAAACAACAUGCUGGUGUUGUAACUUUUAUUUCUCUUUUUAUUUAGAAAUGUUCACUGAUGUCAAAAUGUUUUUUUGUGAUGUAAAUAAUGCAUAAUUUCAUAAUUUAAUUCUUAUUAUUUUUCUUCAAAAAUGUCUCUCAAACAAUGAAGUUUGAGAUCUGAAUAACAAUCUAUUAUCUUUAUUGUUCCUGUAGUAUAUCACACCAUAGUACACCCCUUCAAAUGAGUGUAUUCAGUUAUUUCAGCCACACCCAUUGCUGAAUAAAACCGAGCACACACCCAUGCAAUCUUCAUAGACAAACAGUGGCAGUAGGAUGGCCUUGCUGAAGAGCUCAGUGACAUUCAACUUGGCACCGUCAAAGGAUGCCACCUUUCAAACAAGUCAGUUGGUGAAAUUUCUGCCAAAUUUCUACUUCCAGAUCAACUGUAAUGUCAACAUCAUUGUAAUAGCCAAUUUCUCCCCUUUCCAACAAAAUAAAUGACAUGACCUAAA